UACGUAGGGGCAAGCGUUGUCCGGAUUUAUUGGGCGUAAAGAGCGUGUAGGCGGCCAGGUAGGUCCGUUGUGAAAACUCGAGGCUCAACCUCGAGACGUCGGCGGAAACCCUCUGGCUAGAGUCCGGAAGAGGAGAGUGGAAUUCCUGGUGUAGCGGUGAAAUGCGCAGAUAUCAGGAAGAACACCCGUGGCGAAGGCGGCUCUCUGGGACGGUACUGACGCUGAGACGCGAAAAGCGUGGGGGAGCAAACAGG
rnacentral:rRNA from 1 species